AAUCAACGCUGGCGGCGUGCCUAACACAUGCAAGUCGAACGAGAAAGUGGAGCAAUCCAUGAGUAAAGUGGCGCACGGGUGAGUAACACGUGACUAACCUACCCUUGAGUGGGGGAUAACCUAGGGAAACCUGGGCUAAUACCGCAUAAUACCUACGGGUCAAAGGAGCAAUUCGCUUUAGGAGGGGGUCGGCGGCAGAUUAGUUAGUUGGCGGGGUAAGUGGCCCACCAAGACGAUGAUCNGUAUCCGGCCUGAGAGGGCGGCACGGACACACUGGAACU
rnacentral:rRNA from 1 species